CGGAGUAGACAACUGGGAUUGCCCUAGUAACGGCGAGUGAAGCGGCAAUAGCUCAAAUUUGAAAUCUGGCUCCUUUUAGGGGUCCGAGUUGUAAUUUGCAGAGGGUGCUUUGGCGUUGGUAGCGGUCUAAGUUCCUUGGAACAGGACAUCGCAGAGGGUGAGAAUCCCGUUUGUGGUCGCAUGCCUUCGCCGUGUAAAGCCCCUUCGACGAGUCGAGUUGUUUGGGAAUGCAGCUCUAAAUGGGAGGUAAAUUUCUUCUAAAGCUAAAUACUGGCCAGAGACCGAUAGCGCACAAGUAGAGUGAUCGAAAGAUGAAAAGCACUUUGGAAAGAGAGUCAAACAGCACGUGAAAUUGUUGAAAGGGAAGCGCUUGCAGCCAGACUUGCCCGUAGUUGCUCACCUAGGCUUUUGCCUGGGGCAUUCUUCUGCGGGCAGGCCAGCAUCAGUUUGGGCGGUCGGAUAAAGGCCUCUGUCAUGUAACUUCCUUCGGGAAGAACUUAUAGGGGAGGCGAAAUGCGACCAGCCCGGACUGAGGUCCGCGCUUCUGCUAGGAUGCUGGCGUAAUGGCUGUAAGCGGCCCGUCUUGAAACACGGACCAAGGAGUCUAACAUCUAUGCGAGUGUUUGGGUGUCAAGCCCGAGCGCGUAAUGAAAGUGAACGGAGGUGGGAACCCUUUGGGUGCACCAUCGACCGAUCCUGAUGUCUUCGGAUGGAUUUGAGUAAGAGCAUAGCUGUUGGGACCCGAAAGAUGGUGAACUAUGCUUGAAUAGGGUGAAGCCAGAGGAAACUCUGGUGGAGGCUCGCAGCGGUUCUGACGUGCAAAUCGAUCGUCAAAUUUGGGCAU
rnacentral:rRNA from 1 species